rnacentral:lncRNA from 11 species
AAGCUCACACUGCCGCGUUACCUUCGCAAAGGGACUCUUUGAGACGACUGCCGCGUUGAGGAGAAUGUCGCGACCGAGAAGAGGAUGCUCUACGGGGAACGCUCUCCGGGAGGAUGCCUCUGGCCCCGUGGACGAGAUACUGUCAAGAUUGAUCUGAUCUAUUCUUGGAAGAAUUAAAUUGAGAAUUCUUUUUUAUCCUUGAUAUCAAAGUUAAUCAACAUCGGAACUUUAAAGGUGUGUUUAUGAGAAAUAGACAUUAUUGCCUCGAUUGACAAAUCAUCGAUAAAUUACGAAGGCAACAGGUGGUAAAAGCCACUUUCUAUUAAAUCACUCGAUCACUCUUACGGUACCAGAUUACAAUUUUUCUGGCAGAAAAAAUUUUUCUUCUGGAUGGAAAUAUCAUAUGCCAGACAGAUAAUAUCGCAGAGAUUGGACAAGUGAUAUUAAAAGAAGUCGCAGAAAGAAUCGUGGAGUUCAUCGCGACCGGUCGUCCCAUGCCCUUUGCCAACUCGAGGAUCGAGCCUCCAACCUCUUCGAAAAGUCGCAUCCAGGGAGUGUUGUGUCGCAUUCCAUCCGUUAGAUCGAUUUCUUUCAGUUAUGAACAUUUUUUUUUUUUUUCGUUCCAGAGAAGAAUCGACAUGUUUUGAAAUUAUGAAGGAUAAAGAGAGUGGAAAGCACGAGGAAGCUGAAGAUCGAGGUCGUACCUCGACAAUCGAAAAUUUCGCAAUUAUUCUCGUGUUAAGAAACGAGAUUUCCGGCAACGUUUGGGAACACUGCGAACGAUAAAAUUAUAUAAUUCUCUUGUCUUUUAUAUAUUAUUUUCGUGACAUUUAUAAAGUAUUUUUCAAUUAUUAUUUUGCGUUUCACUUUUAUGAAUAUAUAUUCUUAGGCAAACAUAUGCCUUUAUUUUCUAGAAUUAUAGUUUAAAUCUAGUAGCAUUUAUCUUCUGUCUUCUGAUUUAUAAAUAGGUAUCGUCACGGAUUGUAAGGAUUGUUUUAUUUUCCAUCAAUGACCAUCCGUGUUUCUAUUACGCGUGAUGAACUCGCGACGAGGAAUCUUCUCAGCCUUGGAGGGCGAAAGUUGUUGUGGAUGGCACGAUAUUUGCACCUACAAGCUAAGGAACGUGUCCAUAGCAGGAGGUUGAUCGUGGUUUUCUGUAAUUUUAUUUGAUUGCCCGAUUGCAUCGUGCAUCCAAUUAUUCCCGAUGAUGGGAUGAGUGAAGAACGGUAUGUCGUGACAUUCUUCAGCAAGCAUUGAACCGAUGGAGAAAGCGGGGUCAUAGAUGCAUAGGCAGAUCAUUUUUUUCAAGAUGAGAUAACUCAACUCAGGGACAACGGUUACAAAUGCGAUGAUUCCAAUUAUCCAAAAAAUAAGUAUCUAAGAAUGCUUCCCUUGAUGCAAUCUAUCUCAAGCAAGCAAACCAGUUUUUCAAAGUAGCUAUUAUAGAAAUUAUCAAUCUUUACCAAUCAUUAUGUAAAGAACACUCAAUCAAUUGCAAGUGAUUUCAAGUGAGGUGAAGAGUUAAAAUUUUCAAAUUAUUCAGAUUUCGUCAAAAUAAAGAAUAUUUGACAAUUGAAAAUUCAGAGACAUGCAGAGACUUUAUGCAAGAUUUAUCCAAUUGUCAUCAGAAAUGAAAAUAAAUUUUUUACUUCAGCGGAGCUAAAGCAAUAAGUAAUAUAAAAUUGUAAUUUUAUAUUACAAAUCUUAUAAUUUCUAUAAAAUUAUUGAAUUAUUUCAACUGUAUUAUCGGUCAUUCUUGAAAAAAACUGGACAAGUUGAAGGAAUUUGUUAAAUCUUGAGAAAAAAAAAAAACUCGAUUCUUUAUGCCUCCAAGAAUAAUAAGAUGUUACGCAGAUUUGCAUAGCGAUUUGGAGAAGAGAGAAUGUUCCUCAUUACCCAAGCGGAUACAGAAAGUGACGAAAUUUGCUACACAUUUACGAAAGAACGAAUACGUUUAGAUGUACGGCCUUGGCGUGUACGAAUUCCCGUUUUUCCUAUUUGCCUUCGUUCCUCUUUUAACUCGGAUCGAGCUAGUGAAAGCUUGUCGUGGAAGAUCUCGAACGUCCUCCAGCACGUGCACUCGAAUCCUCCUCACGAAAUGACGAUUUAUUGCGUUGGAAAUUAUUGCGGCGAAAGCAAUAGGAACUAGAGCACCAAUCGACACCGACGAGGAUCAUAUUUCUCGAUUAUAAUAACCAAACAAAGAUAGAUUUUUACGCGUUUGUCAAAUUGUUGUGUACCGUUUUUGUUACAUUUGAAAAAAUAUAUGUAUUAAUUAAUACACGAUGAUAGAGUAGAAUCGAUUGUUUAUCCAUGCGAUAAAAAUCGACGAGAAAGGAACUGGAUAAAUUGAUGUUUUGCAUUCCCGACCUACGAUCGUCGAUUACGCAAAAACCGAUGGAUUUGAGAGAGAAAAUUCUCGACACGUAACAGACUUUUAAGGAAUAAAUAUUUACCUGAGAGAGAGAGAGAGAGGUACAGAGUUAAUUGCAUAGUCGUGCAACAAUUGCAUAUGCGAACACCGAACAUGGAACAACGAUCUCGUGCCGGAGAAGAUUCACGAAGAUUCUAUAAGUCACGGGGGAAGGGGAUUUAUUUCUCCUAGUCUUCGCCACGUGAGAAAGUGAAAGCAAAAUGCGAGCGCCCGAGGAGGCAUCCUCUAUGUAGCGAGCUCGAUUCCGUCCGUCUCUUCAGGUGAUCAUCCUAAAAACCGAUGCCUCCCUCCCCCCUGUGUCCCCUGAGCUAUGAACGACUCGUUAUAUCCUCUUAUGUAGAUCCUUAUGUCGAGUCAAACCGUUGCACCAUUUAUAUCACACCAGAUCUAGAUACAUUUGAAAUAAUCUUACUUCAUAACACAGGUAUUUCCAUUAAUCUGUCAUAAAUUUAUAUUUAAAAGAUUUGUUUCAUAUAAAAAUAUAUUUAUGCGUGCAAUAAGAAAUUUUAAAGUUCAAUCCUGACGAACAUUCAAUGCUCGUGGUAUUAAUAAAUCGAUAAUUCGGUUGAUUAAUUGAGCAACAAUUAUUUAUAAAUACGAUUCGAGCUGAAAACAAGGUUAGUUAAUUAAAGAUCUGAUUAGUGUAUCUAAUAGAAGAUUAAUUUUUCUUAAUAAUUUUCUUUUGCAGACAAGUUUUUCUUUCGUUGAUAAAAGAAAAAGAUAUAUGAAUUUGAACAAAAAAAAAAAAAUAUGAAUUUAUUUCGAAAUAAAUUCACCGAUACGGCGAGAAUAUGAUUUACAAGUCGAAAAUCUCGUACAAAGUAAAAUUAACGCUCUCGAGAUCUUAAUUACGGCCCUCUUGUUAUUGUGACAGAGUGUGUAACUCCGUGCGAAAGAAUAAGAAUUAUCCAUUCGCCGCUAUUCUCUUAUGUAAUCCAUACCUCAUCGUGUGUAUAUAUACAUCGUCUUUAAAUUUUAAAACGCUCAUAGAUGACUCUCAAUGAUGGUCGAUAAAUCUAAUUGAAUAAAAGAAAAUUAGACAAGGUAUAUUUCUAUUCUGGAAUCACGUUCAAAACUCAGGCGUUUCGAUAAUUUAAAACCCGAGCAUUGAUCAAUUUUCGUUUCUAUAAUAAUACAAUCAAGAGAUUCCAAGAGAAAUCUUUCCCAUGGCACAAAGACCUUAUUGGUAUAAGGUUCGAGUAAUUUUCCAAUAGAAAAUAAUGGGAAGUGCUCCACUUUUUAUCGAGAACGGCAGCCUGUCGUAUUUCUUCCCGAUGUUAUUUCCAUUAAAAAAAGAGAAAAAAACAGAACAAUUGAAAUAUCUCACACAAAUGCAACCUGAUUCUUGUUU